GGGUCAGUAGGUUGGUCAUGCCACUGGUAUGUACUGGUCUCACUGAUUCCUCCUUCCUGAUGAGCCGUAAUCCCAUUAAUUUGGUGUUGCGGGGAAUCUGGACUGUUACUUUGAAAAAAUUAGAGUGUUUAAAGCAGGCAUUAGCUUGAAUACAUUAGCAUGGAAUAAUGAAAUAGGACGUUUAAUUCUAUUUUGUUGGUUUCUAGGAUUGACGUA
rnacentral:rRNA from 1 species